rnacentral:rRNA from 2 species
UGGGGAAUAUUGCACAAUGGAGGGAACUCUGAUGCAGCGACGCCGCGUGAACGAAGAAGGCUUUCGAGUCGUAAAGUUCUUUUAUAUGGGAAGAUAAUGACGGUACCAUAAGAAAAAGCCACGGCUAACUACGUGCCAGCAGCCGCGGUAAUACGUAGGGGGCUAGCGUUGUCCGGAAUCACUGGGCGUAAAGGGUUCGCAGGCGGAAAUGCAAGUCAGGUGUAAAAGGCAGUAGCUUAACUACUGUAAGCAUUUGAAACUGCAUAUCUUGAGAAGAGUAGAGGUAAGUGGAAUUUUUAGUGUAGCGGUGAAAUGCGUAGAUAUUAAAAAGAAUACCGGUGGCGAAGGCGACUUACUGGGCUCAUUCUGACGCUGAGGAACGAAAGCGUGGGUAGCAAACAGG